rnacentral:lncRNA from 1 species
UAGGUAUGCCAAUAUAAUUUGCAUUUAUAUACUUUUUCUUCCUGUCUACAGUAACGAAGUAAAUAAUGGCUGGAUGUCUGAAACUGAAAUACAUCCCUGUUUAAAUGGUUGUCCUGAGGAUCCCUGCUAGAGGCUUGUUUUCCACAUUAAUGCCCUCUUUCUAUGAAGAAGAGGAACUGAGGACAAAGUUGUUUAGAACUCCCAAGAGUUAGUUUGCUGCAAAGAACCUGGAAUGAGAGGAGUGGUGAUGAUUCUUUCUCUGGAGUGUGAAUCCUGGUGGUACAUCAGGCACAUCCUGAUGUCUGACUAGAAGUACUAGGAAAGGACAUAGGAAAGAAGAGAGUCAACUCUGCUUCAGCUGAAAUUAUUCCAAGGGGCUGGUAUGUUGUAAGGUUUCUAAUACAAAGACCUAAUAUACAUCACAUUAAGUCUCAAUUACAUAUUGAAAAUGUUAUUUCUUUGAAAAGGAAAAAUUUCCCUGGUUAUUGAUAGUACUGCACUGUUUUUGCUGCUUUGCAGCUAUGAUGUAAAUUAGCUUCCUUGCUAAGGAGUACAAUGUGAACAUACAGCCUUUGAGAGCAGAACUGGAGCUGUAGCUGGAUGCUUCCCGAUUCAGACCCUGCACCUCCCCCCCGCUCCCCUUCC